rnacentral:rRNA from 1 species
GACGAACGCUGGCGGCGUGCUUAACACAUGCAAGUCGAACGGAAAGGCCCUGCUUUUGUGGGGUGCUCGAGUGGCGAACGGGUGAGUAACACGUGAGUAACCUGCCCUUGACUUUGGGAUAACUUCAGGAAACUGGGGCUAAUACCGGAUAGGAGCUCCUGCUUCAUGGUGGGGGUUGGAAAGUUUCGGCGGUUGGGGAUGGACUCGCGGCUUAUCAGCUUGUUGGUGGGGUAGUGGCUUACCAAGGCUUUGACGGGUAGCCGGCCUGAGAGGGUGACCGGACACAUUGGGACUGAGAUACGGCCCAGACUCCUACGGGAGGCAGCAGUGGGGAAUAUUGCACAAUGGGCGGAAGCCUGAUGCAGCAACGCCGCGUGCGGGAUGACGGCCUUCGGGUUGUAAACCGCUUUCGCCUGUGACGAAGCGUGAGUGACGGUAAUGGGUAAAGAAGCACCGGCUAACUACGUG